UCCCUCUCAGAGCACAUCUGAAGAGUUUCCAGUACUCUACCAGUUUCAACUCCGUGAGGGAGAGUCAAGCAGAGGCAUACCCAUUCCAUUCCUAGUUUGGGCAGUGGCUAGUGAGUGGAAGACACUCUGCUACAACU